GGGAAAACAAAACAAAGCGCAGAUUCCCCUCCAAACAAGCCCUAUGCUUUUUCUUCUCUUCUUCUCUCCCCCACACCCUCCCCCUCUCUCCCAAGAACAUCAUAUACCCCAUUGCUCAAAGAAAAUUAAGCCACUGGCCCCUUGAAGAUUGAGCUGAGAUUUCCGCACACCGGGUGCAAGGGCCGGAGGGGCGAGAGCAUUCCUUUCAGCGGGAAGCCGGCAACGCAUCUCCCCCUCUCUAUCUCCUCUUUCUCUCACCAGAGGCGAGUGAUGAAUCGAGGAGAAUUCCAGAGCUCCCUAGUGCAACAGAUGAUCUGGAGUGGCACUGGGGAUGGUGGUACCAGUAGUAUCAUGAGUAGCUUGAAGCCAUGCCACGAGGAACAAGAGGCGUCUCCCAAGCUGCCCUCCUUGUCUUCUCCCUCCAUGCUUUUCUCCCAGCAGUUUCCUCACAGCCCAUCAGGCCUGGGUCAUAUCAACGGCGGCACCUCUCUUCUAAGCUUGCAUGACGGCAGCACCGGCACCCAGGAGAGCCACAUGCCAGAGUCAUGGAGCCAGAUGAUACUCAGUGGGGGAUUGGUUGGAGAUCAAGAGAGAGGGGGAUACAACGCCACCACGGCUCUCCUGUCAAAGGGACUAGAGAAUUGGGGGGCUCAUCAGGCUGCUGUAAGUGCAUGCAUGGUUGGUACCAAGGAGGACGGCCCCAUGCCUCAGUCCGUCGCCGGAGGCGCUGCUUCUUACAACUUCUAUGGGAGCCAUCUUGCUGGUGACGGACAUGAGAUCCAGGCCAAGUCCCAGCUGAGCCAGAUGCUUCUGGCCUCCUCUCCUAGGUCAUGCGUCACCACAAGCCUGGGCAGCAACAUGCUCGACUUCUCAAACAGCGUGGCGCCGCCCCCUCCGGAGCUGAGGUGCCACCACCACUCCGACAACUCAUCCGAGUGCAACAGCACCGCCACAGGUUCAGCUCUCAAGAAGGCUAGGGUUCAGGCCUCGUCCUCAGCACAAUCUACUCUAAAGGUGAGGAAGGAGAGGCUAGGGGACAGAAUAACUGCACUUCACCAAAUAGUUUCCCCAUUUGGCAAGACUGACACGGCGUCUGUACUGCAAGAGACCAUUGGCUAUGUCAGAUUCCUCCUGGGUCAAAUUGAGGCUCUAAGCUACCCAUACAUGGGCCACGGCAGCAACGGGUCAUCCAUUCAAAAUGGACCAACUGGAGAAAGCAACCCUGGCCUCUUCCCAGAGUACCCCGGACAGUUGCUAAACCAUAAUAACAACAAAUUUUGGGCAGUUGCUAAACCAUAAUAACAACACUGGAGGAGUACAGCAGCAGGCUCCAGGCCAACCAGAGCAGCAGGGUGCUGUGAAUGAAGAGGCGAGCAAGAAGGACCUGAGGAGCCGGGGCUUGUGCCUCGUCCCAGUCUCGUGCACGUCCCACUUUGGCGGAGACAACGCUGCUGACUACUGGGCCCCGGCGCCGCUUGGCGGGAUGAUCCUCCAGUAGAAGAGACGACUGGUCUUGCAGCAAGUAUAUGUGUUGUGCAUGGGGUGGUGCAGGAGUACGUAACAGCGCGCGUAAGUACGUACAUACCAUCAUGAGCAGUCACUCUACUAAGGCUGAUUGCUCUUGAUGCUAUGCUAUGCGAGUGUAGUGUAAUCAUAUCAUGGGGGUGAAAGCGAUUAAGCCUUCUGUAUCUGCAUUGUUCUCUGCGAAGAGGCUUUUCAUGAAGGAAGCUGUGCAUGGCCGGUCUAUUUCUUCUCUAGCUGGUCGUCCUCCUUCAGUCCUUGCAAAAUUUAUGGGUUUGUUGUAUAUGUAAAUCUAGCAAGUUAUAUAGUGAACUUUAAUUAUUAUUUUUC